rnacentral:rRNA from 1 species
UAGAGUUUGAUUCUGGCUCAGGAUGAACGCUAGCGGCAGGCCUAAUACAUGCAAGUCGAACGGUUCUAGCAAUAGAAUAGUGGCGCACGGGUGCGUAACGCGUAACCAACCUGCCCUUGACUGGGGGAUAGCCCGCCGAAAGGCGGAUUAAUACCGCAUAAACUAGCAGUCUGGCAUCAGGCAACUAGUAAAGAUUUAUUGGUCAAGGAUGGGGUUGCGUGACAUUAGCUAGUUGGCGGGGUAAAGGCCCACCAAGGCGACGAUGUCUAGGGGACCUGAGAGGGUGAUCCCCCACACUGGCACUGAGAUACGGGCCAGACUCCUACGGGAGGCAGCAGUAGGGAAUAUUGGGCAAUGGGCGAGAGCCUGACCCAGCCAUGCCGCGUGCCGGAUGAAGGCCUUCUGGGUUGUAAACGGCUUUUCUCAGGGAAGAAAACGACCAUGCGUGGUACACUGACGGUACCUGAGGAAUAAGCACCGGCUAACUCCGUGCCAGCAGCCGCGGUAAU